rnacentral:lncRNA from 1 species
GAAAAAUGAGAAUUUUGAAACAAGGCCAUCAGCUUUCUCAACUAGUACAGGUGUUCCAGGACGUAGCUGGCAACAUACUUGAUUGCCAGGAAGGAGAAAGCCAUAUCUGCCUGUAUCUCGAAGUUCAAAGGUGAAGGAAUAUCUGAUUCCUUGGUCAUAAGCCCAGUCGUCAGAGCCCCCAGCAGCAGGAUCUGAAAUGUGCAAACAGCAAUUGUUGUAGCUCCCGGGCCAUAUGUGUACUUGGUGCCGUGCAGUGAGGCAAGUUCUUUCACAGUAGCUUUAGCC